CUGGGUGAAGCCAGCUGAGCUCCUGACUCUGGUGGGGACUUGGGAGAACCUUUAUGUCUAGCUAAGGGAUUGUAAAUACACCAAUCGGCACUCUGUAUCUAGCUCAAUGUUUGUAAACACACCAAUCAGCACCCUGUGUCUAGCUCAGGGUUUGUGAAUGCACCAAUCCACACUCUGCAUCUAGCUACUCAGGUGGGGACGUGGAGAACAUUUGUGUCUAGCUCAGGGAUUGUAAACGCACCAAUCAGUGCCCUGACAAAACAGACCACUGGGCUCUACCAAUCAGCAGGAUGUGGGUGGGGCCGGAGAAGAGAAUAAAAGUAGGCUGCCGGAGCCAAGAGUAGCAAGCGGCUACGUCCCCUUCCACGCUGUGGGGGUUUGUUCUUUCGCUCUUUGCAAUAGAUCUUGUUGCUGCUCACUCUUUAAGUUCAUACUGCCUUUAUGAGCUGUGACAUUCACCGCGAAGGUUUGCAGCUACACUCCUUAAGCCAGGGAGACCACUAACCCACCAGGAGGAACGAACAAACAACUCCAGAUGCGGGGCCUUAAGAGCUGUAACACUCACCGCGAAGGUCCGCAGUUUCACUCCUGAGCUAGCGUGACCACGAACUCACCAGAAGGAAAAAACUCCGAACGCAUCCGAACAUGAGAAGGAACAAACUCCGAACGCGCCUCCUUUAAGAACUGUAACACUCCCGCGACGGUCCGCGGCUUCGUUCUUGAUGUCAGUCAGACCAAGAACCUACCAAUUCCGGACACACCAUCGGGGGACAUGAUAAAUCUGGGAAGGGCACCUCAGGUUUUAUCUUCAUCAGCCUGGUCAAAGCUGGAUUUCCAUCACACAUGUGCUCACUCCACGGAACGUGCAAAAGGUCAAGACACACAAACUCAAGAGUUUUUAAAAUCAAGAAUUGAAAGUGGUCCACUAGCUUCUGUUCAUAGGACAUUGAGCCCCAGAUUUGGCACAUGACCGUAAGUAACUGACACAGCUACUGGGAAUGUGUAAUCUCUCGCUGGAUAUUCAUAUGCCCAGCUUAAACUCUGUUUCUAUGAAGGAAAAUGAAUAAUGGAUUUUGGGGUGGUAACUAUCAGGCUACUAUCGCCAUCUAUUUUAGGCAAGCACAGUGAUAAGUAAUUUGGGGAAAGGACUUUCAAUCCAGUGGAGAGAGAUGUCUAGGAUAUUCAAAAGCUAUAUAAUACCAGUUAUUAUGAAAUAACCAAUAAAUAGAGGUAAACGUUGUAGGGAUUAAAAAAAGGAGUGAUUUAGGUGGAGAAUUUGAGAAGGUUUUGUAAAAAUAGUAGUUUGUGGUGAUAGAGAAAGC
rnacentral:lncRNA from 1 species